GGGUUCAUAGCUCAGUUGGUUAGAGCAGGGUGCUCAUAACUCCAAGGUCCCUGGUUCAAAUCCAGGUGAGCCCACCA
rnacentral:tRNA from 1 species